rnacentral:rRNA from 1 species
AUUGAACGCUGGCGGCAGGCCUAACACAUGCAAGUCGAGCGAGCGGCGGACGGGUGAGUAAUGUCUGGGAAACUGCCUGAUGGAGGGGGAUAACUACUGGAAACGGUAGCUAAUACCGCAUACCAUCAGAUGUGCCCCGAUGGGAUUAGCUCGUAGGUGGGGUAACGGCGAACCUAGGCGACGAUCCCUAGCUGGUCUGAGAGGAUGACAAUCCACACGGGAACUUAGACACGGGCCAGACUCCAACGGGAGGCAGCAGUGGGAGAGAUUGCACAAUGGGCGCAAGCCUGAUGCAGCCAUGCCGCGUGUGUGAAGAAGGCCUUCGGGUUGUAAAGCACUUUCAGCGGGUAGGCGUUACCCGCAGAAGAAGCACCGGCUAACUCCGUGCCAGCAGCCGCGGUAAUAC